GAUGAACGCUGGCGGCGUGCUUAACACAUGCAAGUCGAACGAACCUUUCGGGGUGAGUGGCGGACGGGUGAGUAACGCGUGAGAAUCUGCCUACAGGUGGGGGACAACCAUUGGAAACGAUGGCUAAUACCGCAUAUGUCGAGAGAUGAAAGAUUUAUUGUCUGUAGAUGAGCUCGCGUCUGAUUAGUUAGUUGGUGGGGUAACGGCCUACCAAGACAACGAUCAGUAGCUGUUCUGAGAGGAAGAUCAGCCACACUGGGACUGAGACACGGCCCAGACUCCUACGGGAGGCAGCAGUGGGGAAUUUUCCGCAAUGGGCGAAAGCCUGACGGAGCAACGCCGCGUGAGGGAGGAAGGUCUUUGGAUUGUAAACCUCUUUUCUCAAGGAAGAUAAUGACGGUACUUGAGGAAUCAGCAUCGGCUAACUCCG
rnacentral:rRNA from 1 species